rnacentral:rRNA from 1 species
UGGGGAAUUUUGCGCAAUGGGCGAAAGCCUGACGCAGCAACGCCGCGUGUGUGAUGAAGGUCUUCGGAUUGUAAAGCACUUUCGGCCGGGACGAAAACCCUGAGUCCAACACACUCAGGCUUGACGGUACCGGAAGAAGAAGCACCGGCUAACUCUGUGCCAGCAGCCGCGGUAAUACAGAGGGUGCAAGCGUUGUUCGGAAUUAUUGGGCGUAAAGCGCGUGUAGGCGGCUUUGCAAGUCGGGUGUGAAAGCCCUCGGCUCAACCGAGGAAGUGCGCCCGAAACUGCAGAGCUUGAGUACCGGAGAGGAUGGCGGAAUUCCCCAAGUAGAGGUGAAAUUCGUAGAUAUGGGGAGGAACACCGGUGGCGAAGGCGGCCAGCUGGACGGAUACUGACGCUGAGACGCGAAAGCGUGGGUAGCAAACAGG